rnacentral:rRNA from 1 species
UACGUAGGGUGCAAGCGUUGUCCGGAAUUAUUGGGCGUAAAGAGCGUGUAGGCGGCCAUGCAGGUCCGUUGUGAAAACUCGAGGCUCAACCUCGAGACGCCGGUGGAAACCGUAUGGCUAGAGUCCGGAAGAGGAGAGUGGAAUUCCUGGUGUAGCGGUGAAAUGCGCAGAUAUCAGGAAGAACACCCGUGGCGAAGGCGGCUCUCUGGGACGUGACUGACGCUGAGACGCGAAAGCGUGGGGAGCAAACAGG